rnacentral:rRNA from 1 species
AUUGAACCCUGGCGGCAGGCCUAACACAUGAAAGUCGAGCGGUAGAGAGGUGCUUGCACCUCUUGAGAGCGGCGGACGGGUGAGUAAUGCCUAGGAAUCUACCUGGUAGUGGGGGAUAACGUCCGGAAACGGACGCUAAUACCGCAUCCGUCCUACGGGAGAAAGCAGGGGACCUUCGGGCCUUGCGCUAUCAGAUGAGCCUAGGUCGGAUUAGCUAGUUGGUGAGGUAAUGGCUCACCAAGGCGACGAUCCGUAACUGGUCUGAGAGGAUGAUCCGUCACACUGGAACUGAGACACGGUCCAGACUCCUACGGGAGGCAGCAGUGGGGAAUAUUGGACAAGGGGCGAAAGCCUGAUCCGGCCAUGCCGCGUGUGUGAAGAAGGUCUUCGGAUUGUAAAGCACUUUAAGUUGGGAGGAAGGGUACUUACCUAAUACGUGAGUAUUUUGACGUUACCGACAGAAUAAGCACCGGCUAACUCUGUGCCAGCAGCCGCGGUAACAC